AGAUUUAGGCUUCGGUCUAAGUCUAGUGGCGAACGGUCGAGUAACACGUAAGCAACCUGCCCAUCCGCGGGGGACAAGCCACCGAAAGGUGGGGUAAUACCGCAUACGAUCGUGGGAGACAUCUUCUGCGAUGAAAGAUUCAUCACGGAUGGAGGGGCUUGCGGCCUAUCAGCUAGUUGGUGGAGGUAACGGCUCACCAAGGCGACGACGGGUAGCGGGUCUGAGAGGACGACCCGCCGGACUGGGACUGAGACACGGCCCAGACUCCUACGGGGGGCAGCAAUCAGGAAUCUUGCGCAAUGGGCGAAAGCCUGACGCAGCGACGCCGCGUGGGUGAGGAAGUCUUUCGGGAUGUAAAGCCCUUUUUCAGGGGAAGAUGAUGACGGUACCCUGAGAAUAAGCCCCGGCUAACUACGUGCCAGCAGCCGCGGUAAUACGUAGGGGGCGAGCGUUGUCCGGAAUUACUGGGCGUAAAGGGCGCGUAGGCGGCCCGCUAAGUCUGUUGUGAAAGACCGAGGCUCAACCUCGGGGUGUCAACGGAGACUGGUGGGCUCGAGUUUUGGAGAGGAGCGGGGAAUCCCUGGUGUAGCGGUGGAAUGCGUAGAGAUCAGGGGGAACACCGAUGGCGAAGGCACCGCUCUGGCCGAUGACUGACGCUGAGGCGCGAAAGCGUGGGGAGCGAACGGGAUUAGAUACCCCGGUAGUCCACGCCGUAAACGAUGUCGACUAGGUGUGGGGGGGAGUCACUCCCUCCGUGCCGCAGCUCACGCAUGAAGUCGACCGCC
rnacentral:rRNA from 1 species